GAACUUGAAGGUAUCUUUCAUGAACUGAUAACAUCGUCUUCUUCAUCUUCCAUGAUACUCUCCAAUGAAGGCCUCCAACAACACUCCACUUUAACAGAUCUAACUUUCUCCAUUUCAACCAAAAGUCCCCCUAAUCGAUACCCGCCAUUAUUGCC